GAAAAGGAUUUCAUGGAUGCAAUAAAAAAAAUGGCAGAAAGGAAACAGUUCGGCAAAAUGGUGAUAUACCUUAGUGCAUGUCAUUCCGGAUCAAUGUUCCAGAGCCUCCCAAACAAUAUCAAAGUUUAUGCAGUUACUUCAGCGGCUCCCGAUGCAGUGUCCUGUAAAUCCAACGAGGACAAAAA